rnacentral:rRNA from 1 species
AACGAACGCUGGCGGCAGGCUUAACACAUGCAAGUCGAACGGGCACCUUCGGGUGUCAGUGGCAGACGGGUGAGUAACGCGUGGGAACGUACCCUUCGGUUCGGAAUAACCCAGGGAAACUUGGGCUAAUACCGGAUACGUCCGUAAGGAGAAAGAUUUAUUGCCGAAGGAUCGGCCCGCGUCGGAUUAGCUAGUUGGUGGGGUAAUGGCCCACCAAGGCGACGAUCCGUAGCUGGUCUGAGAGGAUGAUCAGCCACACUGGGACUGAGACACGGCCCAGACUCCUACGGGAGGCAGCAGUGGGGAAUAUUGGACAAUGGGCGAAAGCCUGAUCCAGCCAUGCCGCGUGAGUGAAGAAGGCCUUAGGGUUGUAAAGCUCUUUCAGCGGGAAGAUAAUGACGGUACCGCAGAAGAAGUCCCGGCUAACUUCGUGCCAGCCGCCGCCGUAAC